rnacentral:lncRNA from 1 species
GCACAAUCUCGCCUCUGGCUUUUACCAUGGCUAUGGAGGUGUUAAUAAGGGCAUCGAGAUGGGUGGUUGGGGCUAUGAGGCUGAAGGAUGGUUCUCGCCUUCCGCCAGUCAGAGCGUAUAUGGAUGAUAUGACUGUGCUUACUACUACUGUCCCAUGUACUUGUCGCUUAUUAACGAAGUUGAAUGGAAAUCUAAAGUUGGCCAGAUUGAAAAUUAAACCUAGUAAGUGUAGGAGUUUGUCAAUAGUUAAAGGAAAGUUAUCGUGGGAGAAUUUCCAGAUUGAUGGGGAAAAGGUUCCGUCAGUGACUGAAAGGCCAAUUAAGCGCUUGGGUCAGUGGUAUGAUUCUUCACUUAGCGACAGGGAGCAGGUUAAAAGAUUAAGGGAGGAUGUAGUGCAGGCAAUCAAUAGGAUUGAUAAAUCUUUUUUGCCAGGGAAGCUGAAGGUUUGGUGCUUUCAGUUUGGUUUAUUGCCUUGUAUUAGAUGGCCAUCCAAUACUGCAUGGCUGAAUGGCUGUGGGCUGAAGGGCAAUACUGAAUGGCUCACUAUAUACGAGGUCUCCAUGUCAGGGGUUGAAAGACUGGAAAGGGUUAUGAGUAAAGCUAGGAGAUGGUUGGGGGUUCCUCAUUGUUUGAGUAGUGUGGCUUUGUAUGGAAAGGGGGUCUUGGAAUUACCACUGAGUAGUUUUGUGGAAGAAUUCAAGUGUGCCAAGGUUGGUUUGGAAUUAACAUUUUCAAGCACAAGAGACCCAGUGGUGAGAUCGGGUCCUCUAAGUCUAAAAACAGGACGUAAGUGGGAUCCACAGGAAGCUGUUGCGCAUGCGCAGACAAUGCUUGAGCACAGAGAUGUGGUCGGUCAGGUGCAGGUAGGUAGGGCGGGGCUCAGUGCCGGCGAUCGAAUAAAGUUGUGGAGUAAAGCUAAGUUGCCGGAGAGGAGAAAGAUGGUGAUUGGUUUUAUCCGCGAACAGGAACAGGAACAGGAACAGGAACAGGAACAGGAGACGAGGCGGGUAACUACGACGUCACAUGGUGUGCAAGGGUGAUGUUUGGCUUGGGAGCAUGUGGAGAAACGUUUGAUCAGCUGGCGUGAUCUGUGGGCGAUGGACGCCGGUCGUAUUAAGUUUCUUGCUUGUUGGAGAACAAGCGAGUUGAAGUUAAUUCACUCCCACGGUGUGGGAGAAGGUAGUUUCUUUUGUGUGGGAGGGGGAGAGCGUUGCAUGUCACGCGCGUGGUCGUGUUGGUACGAAUUUUAAGUGGGGUGAAGUGUGUGACUGGAAGUUGGUAGCGGA